rnacentral:hammerhead_ribozyme from 10 species
AGGUGGUCGGGAGCUAAUGGCCGUUCCCCUGAUGAGCCUAAGUAGGGCGAAACCAGCC